ensembl:snRNA U6 U6 spliceosomal RNA
GUGCUUGAUUUGGCAGCAUAUAUAUUAAAAGUGGAACGAUACAGAAAUUAACAAGGCUCUUGCACAAGGGUGACACACAAAUUUGUGAAGAGUUCAAUAUUGUU